AUUGAACGCUGGCGGCAGGCCUAACACAUGCAAGUCGAGCGAGCGGAGGACGGGUGAGUAAUGUCUGGGAAACUGCCUGAUGGAGGGGGAUAACUACGGGAAACGGUAGCUAAUACCGCAUACCAUCAGAUGGGCCCAUCUGGGAGUCGCUAGUAGGUGGGGUAAUGGCUAACCUAGGCGACGAUCCCUAGCUUGUCUGAGAGGAUGACCAGCCACACGGGCACUGAGACACGGUCCAGACUCCGACGGGAGGCAGCAGUGGGGAAUAUUGCACAAUGGGCGCAAGCCUGAUUCAGCCAUGCCGCGUGUGUGAAGAAGGCCUUCGGGUUGUAAAGCACUUUCAGCGGGGAGGCGUUACCCGCAGAAGAAGCACCGGCUAACUCCGUGCCAGCAGCCGCGGUAAUAC
rnacentral:rRNA from 1 species